rnacentral:rRNA from 1 species
CACACACACACAUACAUGCAUUAACAAAUACACAAUGAAGCGUAAACAUUGAAUGCGUGCUCCAAGUGGGCCAUUUUUGGUAAGCAGAACUGGCGCUGUGGGAUGAACCAAACGUCGAGAUAAAGUGCCUAACUUUCCGCUCAUGAGAUCCCAUGAAAGGCGUUGGUUGAUAUAGACAGCAGGACGGUGGCCAUGGAAGUCGGAAACCGCUAAGGAGUGUGUAACAACUCACCUGCCGAAUCAACUAGCCCUGAAAAUGGAUGGCGCUUGAGCGGAAGACUUAUACUCGACCGUUGCUUGGCUUGUGUACACAGGUUUUUGGGAUACUAAAUUGAUGCGCUUAUAUCAAAUUUAGUAAUCCAACUCGAAGCAGCAUAAGUUACCUGGCCGCAACGAGUAAGAGGGUCGCAGUGGUUUGCGUUGAAGAUUUUGGGCGUAGGCCCAAUCGGAGCUUCCACUGGUGCAGAUCUUGGUGGUAGUAGCAAAUAUUCAAGUGAGAUCCUUGAAGACUGAAGUGGAGAAGGGUUCCUCGUGAACAGCAGUUGGAUGCGGGUCAGUCGAUCCUAAGAUAUUGGCUAAUGCCAUUUGUGAGAAUCGAGAGACGGAGAUCAAAAAAAUCCAUCUCGGCAAUCGAAAGGGAAACGGGUUUAUAUUCCCGUACCUGGACACGGAGAUUAAAUAUCCCACAUUGUGUGGAUAUUUAGCGCGGUAACGCAAACGAACUCGGAGACAUUGAGUAGAGCCCGAGCCAGAGUUCUCUUUUCUGGUUAAGGAACGGACUCCCUGGAAGCGGUUCAGCCGGCGAUAGGGACGUUGUUUCCGUAAAGCGCCACGGUUCCUGUGGCGUCUCGUGCACUCUGCUUGAUCCAUGAAAAUCCGAGGGAGGCAAUUUGAAUUUCGUGCCAGAUCGUACCGAUAUCCGCAGCAGGUCUCCAAGGUGAACAGCCUCUAGUCGAUAGAAUAAUGUAGGUAAGGGAAGUCGGCAAAUUAGAUCCGUAACUUCGGGAAAAGGAUUGGCUCUAAGGACUGGGUCGGUCGGGCUGCAGCGUGAAGUGAGUGCGGUUUGAUCCGUGCAGUGCUAACGCUAAUUGUUUGCAUAAAAUCUUUUUUUUUU